rnacentral:rRNA from 1 species
CCUACGGGAGGCAGCAGUGAGGAAUAUUGGUCAAUGGACGCAAGUCUGAACCAGCCAUGCCGCGUGCAGGAAGACUGCUCUAUGAGUUGUAAACUGCUUUUAUACGAGGAUAAACGCAGAUACGCGUAUCUUUCUGAAAGUAUCUUACGAAUAAGGAUCGGCUAACUCCGUGCCAGCAGCCGCGGUAAUACGGAGAAUUCAAGCGUUAUCCGGAUUUAUUGGGUUUAAAGGGUGCGUAGGCGGUCGGUUAAGUUAGAGGUGAAAUCCCGCGGCUCAACUUCGGAAUUGCAAUUGAUACUGUCCGGCUAGAGAGCAGUUGAGGUAGGCGGAAUGUAUGGUGUAGCGGUGAAAUGCUUAGAGAUCAUAAAGAACACCGAUUGCGAAGGCAGCUUACCAAGCUACUUCUGACGUUGAGGCACGAAAGCGUGGGGAGCAAACAGGAUUAGAUACCCCUGUAGUC